rnacentral:piRNA from 1 species
UUAACUCUCUUCUUUAUUCUUACCCAG